rnacentral:lncRNA from 1 species
CUCGAUUAAAAACAGAAAAUAAUCUUCAAAAAUUUUAAUUUACACGAUAGAUGACGUCAUUUUUCCUUUUUUUUGUUAAUAAUUAUUUAUUUCCUUUCUCUCUUUCCUCUGAGUGUAGACUCUUCCCUCACACCGCUGUUUCUCAUAACCAUAUUCUCUUUCUGUGGACGAAACUCAACCUUAAUAAACCAGAGAGACCAAGAGAUAGCGAGAGACAGGAUUAGCCCAGACAGAGAGCUCUUGUCUCUGAAAGAACGUCAAACCUUCAAAAAAUGGCAUUGAAGUUUAAUCCUUUGGUAUCUCAGCCAUACAAACUCGCUUCCUCGGCUCGUCCGCCAGUCUCUACUUUCAGAUCUCCCAAAGUAUUUGUUGCUCUAUCUUUCUAUGUAAAUGUGUUUUUGCUUUUCAAAAAAGAGCUUUGAGAAAGAUUAAAGAAGAUAACUUGUCUUAACCUAUUUUUGGUUGGGGUUUUGUGAAAAACUUUAAAAAAUAUUGACACCAUACUUAGCUUAUUAAGGCUAGGAAAGGUUUAGGUUUCUUUACGCUUUAGUUGUUUUUUAACUAUAUUUGUAAACGUGUUAAACAUAACUAAUCAGUGUUAAAAGUUGCUGUAAUUGUUUUUUUCCAAAGAUCAAAGCAUAAAGUGUUACCAAAAAAGAAGAUUAAAGCAUAAAGAGAUAUCAUUUGGUAUAUCUUUAUGCCAGCGUAUAAUUUGUUUUUAUCUUUAUGCAAACGCAUACAUAUGUGGACAUGAAAGAACAACGCCAAUCAGGACACUUAACACAAACUCCCAAAAUGUCACUUAAAGCUAUAGUUGACACUUAACACAAACUCCCAAAAUGUCACUUAAAGCUAUAGUUCUGUCACGGUCUCAAUGAAAAUCCUUGUGCUAUCAAUGAAUAAACGUUGUGCUGAAACUGGCAGAGCACAAAACUAUAGUCUAAAAAGCAUUGAAUGAUGCAAAAAAAUGCAAGAACCAAAGGCGCAACGAUUCUCGCAUUUGAAUGAUAUUAGAAAUAUUUGUUUCAUCAAAAAAAAAAAAAAUAUUUGUUUCAUUUGCCAAGUGGAGACAUCCACGUGGUGGAGAAGCCAUGCCACUUGUACUUUUCGUGGGUUCUCACGCCGUGAGUUACAGUUGAAUAUUACAAAAUAAAAAGAAGAACAUUUUGUAUAUGUAUUGACAUUUUUACCCUUGCGCAUACAUGUGUUUUAGUAGGGGUGGGCGUUCGGGUUCGGAUCGGAUAUUUCGGAUUUUCGGAUAUUUCGGUAUAGAGGUGUAGAACCCGUUCGGGUAUUUUUGAACUUCGGGUCGGGUUUGGAUUUUUUUUAGUUCGGAUUCGGUUAUUUCGGAUCAGAUUCAGAUAUUUAGAUUUUGAAAAAAAUAAUUAAAUUUUUCAUUUUCAUAUUUUUUGUAUUUAAAAAUAUAACUUUCACUUAACUAAUUUUUUAUUUUUAAUAGAUUGAAGGGUUAAUAGAUUUGGACAUAACAUUUUGAAACUAAAAAUACAUUAAUUUGGUUAUUGUUUUUAAAUUUUGGAUGUAACUUUUUGUUAAUUCUUGAGAUAAAAAGUUUGACAUGCAUUUUAAGUAAGUAGUAAAUCAUUUUCUCCGUCAUUGUAUGUACAUCAUAUGAACUUAAAAUAUGUGUAGUGUCAAUAUAAAUAUUUUAUAUAAAAUAAGAGAUGUAAACUAGAAAUAUAAGGUUAAUUAUACAUAUGUUCGGUUAUCUUUGGAUAUCUCGAAUAUUACCCGUUGGGGUUUGGAUAUCCAAUCUCUUCUAAUUCAAUAUCCGUUCGGAUAUUUUGCUAUUUCGGUUCGGAUUUCAGUUCGGGUUUUUUGGAUUGGAUUCGGAUGCGGCUUCGGAUAUCGGGUAAAAUGUCCACCCCUGUGUUUUAGUGUUUAGAUCUAAAUUCACAACUAAAUCCAUCUCUUAUCAUCUUUAGUUAACUAAGGGACUCACAAGUCAAUUAAUCUAAUCAAAUCUAAAAUAUAGUAAUUAUAGCUUUACCGACAUGUGAUACUGCCAAAAAUAAUAAAUAUAUAGACACAACAAGGAUGUGAUAGUGAGGAAUCUGGAGGGCAUUUUAGAACUGAGGCUCGAUUAAAAACAGAAAAUAAUCUUCAAAAAUUUUAAUUUACACGAUAGAUGACGUCAUUUUUCCUUUUUUUUGUUAAUAAUUAUUUAUUUCCUUUCUCUCUUUCCUCUGAGUGUAGACUCUUCCCUCACACCGCUGUUUCUCAUAACCAUAUUCUCUUUCUGUGGACGAAACUCAACCUUAAUAAACCAGAGAGACCAAGAGAUAGCGAGAGACAGGAUUAGCCCAGACAGAGAGCUCUUGUCUCUGAAAGAACGUCAAACCUUCAAAAAAUGGCAUUGAAGUUUAAUCCUUUGGUAUCUCAGCCAUACAAACUCGCUUCCUCGGCUCGUCCGCCAGUCUCUACUUUCAGAUCUCCCAAGUUCCUAUGCCUCGCUUCUUCUUCUUCUCCUGCUCUCAGCUCCAAGUAUCUCUCUCUCUCUCUCUCCCUCCAUCCUCCUGUUUCAUUUCUUAAUAAUAUACUUUUACCGAUUGUCCACAAGAGAUUUGGUCCCUUGCUAUCACUUUGUUUCUGGGUUUAGCUUGUUUGUUCGGUUAUGGAUCUAUGUUCUGUCGACUUUAGCUCAAUGUAUUGCUUACCUCACAUUUGCUUAAUGUUAUUAUCAAUGGAUGUGCUUUCAAUCUGGAUGGGACCAUCUUCUGUUAUUCUCUGUCUUGGCCCCAUUGAUUCAUCAAUUCAAUGCUCUCCUUUCUUAAUCUAAUUAUUCUGAGAUAGAUUGCUCCAUGGUGUAUCCGUUUACCAUCAUAAUUAUGAGCUUUUAGAUUGCUUUUGAGAGACAUGGAACAAGUGACUUCAACAUGCUUCUUCUUACACUAUUCCUGAAUUCUCUGAUAUUUCUUCUUGUUCAAAAAAUAAAAAUAAAAAUUCAAAUCUUUUGAUGUUUAUUGUAUAAUUCUUUGUUUAAUAUUUUGACGAUGUCCACUUGUUGCUUUACUCAUUUGAUGAGUUUUUUUUUGCUGUUGUUGCAUUGAGAGGGAGGGUUCUUGAACAUAUCAGUUUAUGUUACGUUGGAUGUUAUAGAGAGAAGACAUGCAUGCGUACUUCGUGGCCUCCUCUCUAAUAGUUUCCGUCCAAAACUUUCACUCUUUCCUCU